UGUCGACUUGGGAAGGUUGUUCCCUUUGAGGAGUGGCUUCCGGAGCUAACGCGUUAAGUCGACCGCCUGGGGAGUACGGCCGCAAGGUUAAAACUCAAAUGAAUUGACGGGGGCCCGCACAAGCGGUGGAGCAUGUGGUUUAAUUCGAUGCAACGCGAAGAACCUUACCUACUCUUGACAUCCAGCGAACUUUCCAGAGAUGCUUUGGUGCCUUCGGGAACGCUGAGACAGGUGCUGCAUGGCUGUCGUCAGCUCGUGUUGUGAAAUGUUGGGUUAAGUCCCGCAACGAGCGCAACCCUUAUCCUUUGUUGCCAGCGAUUCGGUCGGGAACUCAAAGGAGACUGCCGGUGAUAAACCGGAGGAAGGUGGGGAUGACGUCAAGUCAUCAUGGCCCUUACGAGUAGGGCUACACACGUGCUACAAUGGCGCAUACAAAGAGAAGCGACCUCGCGAGAGCAAGCGGACCUCACAAAGUGCGUCGUAGUCCGGAUCGGAGUCUGCAACUCGACUCCGUGAAGUCGGAAUCGCUAGUAAUCGUGGAUCAGAAUGCCACGGUGAAUACGUUCCCGGGCCUUGUACACACCGCCCGUCACACCAUGGGAGUGGGUUGCAAAAGAAGUAGGUAGCUUAACCUUCGGGAGGGCGCUUACCACUUUGUGAUUCAUGACUGGGGUGAAGUCGUACAAAGGGGAACCAAAAG
rnacentral:rRNA from 1 species